rnacentral:lncRNA from 1 species
AUUCUUCUCUCCUCCCACACGAAGAACAAGAAACCGUGUAAGGGUCUCCCCAAAAUGGAAAGAGAUUUAUGAAAUAGAAUAAAAGAAACUGAAUAGUUUUAUUGAAUGAUUGAGAAAAGGAGAACAAAUUCUCUUGUAAAGUUAAACAAAUAAGGUUAAACAAUAUCUCAAUAACACCCACAAAACAGCAAAACCCCCAACUGGUAAAAAAAAUUAUAAAACAAUUCAAACUCACCGAUCAACAACAAACGGUUGUCCAAAGGAAUGGUCCAACGACGGCGUAAUGGCGGAAAACGCUUUCGGUGGUCGUUGCUUCCAAACGGUGGAACUGUGGCGAAAUGUCCUCCGGUAAACGGUGGCGGUCCCGGAACAGUCAAAACUCACUUAAACCAUGGUUCUUCUCACCGCAACACAACUCUGGGUGCUUCUUCUCUCUCUAGGGUUCUCUCCAACCCAAAGUGAUAUUCUGAUUCUGAAAUUACAAAAUUAAAACCCGC